rnacentral:rRNA from 1 species
UGGUGAGGUAACGGCUCACCAAGUCAGCGAUCCAUAGCUGGUUUGAGAGGAUGAUCAGCCACACUGGGACUGAGACACGGCCCAGACUCCUACGGGAGGCAGCAGUGGGGAAUAUUGGACAAUGGGGGCAACCCUGAUCCAGCCAUGCCGCGUGAGUGAAGAAGGCCUUCGGGUUGUAAAGCUCUUUCAGAUGCGAAGAUGAUGACGGUAACAUCAGAAGAAGCCCCGGCUAAUUUCGUGCCAGCAGCCGCGGUAAUACGAAAGGGGCUAGCGUUGUUCGGAUUUACUGGGCGUAAAGGGCACGCAGGCGGACUUGCCAGUCAGGGGUGAAAGCCCGGGGCUCAACCCCGGAACUGCCUCUGAUACUGCAAGACUAGAGACUAGGAGAGGGUGGUGGAAUUCCCAGUGUAGAGGUGAAAUUCGUAGAUAUUGGGAGG